rnacentral:rRNA from 1 species
CGAAAGGACCAUAGUUAUGUAAUAAUUACUUUUUAUUGAUUAAUAUUAA